UACAGAGGUCUCAAGCGUUGUUCGGAUUCAUUGGGCGUAAAGGGUGCGUAGGCGGCGCGGUAAGUCGGGUGUGAAAUCUCGGAGCUUAACUCCGAAACUGCAUUCGAUACUGCCGUGCUUGAGGACUGGAGAGGAGACUGGAAUUUACGGUGUAGCGGUGAAAUGCGUAGAUAUCGUAAGGAAGACCAGUGGCGAAGGCGGGUCUCUGGACAGUUCCUGACGCUGAGGCACGAAGGCCAGGGGAGCAAACGG
rnacentral:rRNA from 1 species